UUUAUAGAAUCUCCUGUAGAAUUAACAGUGGACUAACAACGACAAUAAAAAGUCUGAAAGUUAGUUCAAAAUGGGAAAAAUCAUAAAAGCAAAGGUCAUGACUCACUACUCACCUAACUGCUUCCAGCCUCCCUCCUGACCCAAAAUGACAGAUUAGCCUCGUCCCCAGCAACCUGGCAGCACGUGAAUGGAAGCAUAGCACAGCAAGUCUCUCCCUUUCGAUAGAUUAGAUGUCAAGAAUAAAGAGUAAUAUGAUAAUAGCAAGAAGUACCAAAAUAGACUACUGGAGACUGAGGAGAAUUUCUUAAAAGACAAUAAAAUGGAGAAGUCACUUCGAGGUGAAAGUACUCGCAUUUAUUUUAUGGAAGAAAAGAAAAACAGGAAAGAAAUUUAAAUACAACAAAAAAAACUAAUACAUCAAACAUGCCUGAAGUUCAGCCCUGCAUGUAGCCUGUGCUCAAACUGAGAUUCCUACUACACAAAAAUGAGCAAUUAAAAUACAGUGUGAUAGACUCCCACUUCUAGCCAACUGGUACCAGACUUGCCUUCCUGCCAUAAAUAACUGGAAAAUGGACCAGAUAUAUUAAACAGCUCUUUUCAGGCAUUGGACAGCUGGCAUCUCAGCAAUGUGAUCCUUUGGAGAAGGGAAACAAAUGAGGUGAGUCUUAUGUUUGUUCCAGCUUUCUUUUGUAGGCAUUUUCUGUACUGUGGUAGAGAAAGGGGAAUCUAAGCAAAGUAUAGUAGACUCUUUCACUUGAAGAGACAGAGAUUAGAGUUUGAGUAAUCUGAGGUGGUUGAAAUCUGGAAUCUACAUAGAAAAAGAGUCCUAGAAAUAUGUGUAUAGGCCUUUGAGUUUUUAGCUGACUACUAAACUACGUAUGUAUAGAGUAAAACUCAAUGAUGUAGAACAAAGAGAAACUUGAAGUUGUAAGCUGAGCAAUUUGCAGAGCUCAUGCAUUUCUGUGAGACAUUUGAGUCCCAAUCAUGCAAAGCGGAGGGUGAACCACAGAGCACUCAGUAGACAUCCCAGAAUGGUGGUAGGGCUAAAGCAGACUUAGAGAAAAAUCUACUCUAGUCCCACCCUAAAAAAGCUUAUGAAGGGGUCUCUAAAUAAUUAAGCCAACCUGCAAGUUAUAUAAGUGUCUGUUAGAACAAAGCCCAACAUUAUUUUUAAAAAAUUAAUGAACACCUUCAUUAUCACUCAUUCUGUAUCUUACAUCUUCAGAAUGUAUUUAUCUUACAAUAUAUAAACACCUUGACCAAUAUCUUCCCAUUUCUCCCAACUCCCUUCCCCCGCACCAGCCUUUGGCAACCACCAUUCUACUCUCUGCUUCUGUGAUUCUGAGUUUGUUUGA